rnacentral:rRNA from 1 species
UGGGGAAUUUUGGACAAUGGGCGAAAGCCUGAUCCAGCAACGCCGCGUGUGUGAAGAAGGCCUUCGGGUUGUAAGGCACUUUUGUCCGGAAAGAAAUCCUUGGCUCUAAUACAGUCGGGGGAUGACGGUACCGGAAGAAUAAGCACCGGCUAACUACGUGCCAGCAGCCGCGGUAAUACGUAGGGUGCAAGCGUUAAUCGGAAUUACUGGGCGUAAAGCGUGCGCAGGCGGUUUGCUAAGACCAAUGUGAAAUCCCCGGGCUCAACCUGGGAACUGCAUUGGUGACUGGCAGGCUAGAGUAUGGCAGAGGGGGGUAGAAUUCCACGUGUAGCAGUGAAAUGCGUAGAGAUGUGGAGGAAUACCGAUGGCGAAGGCAGCCCCCUGGGCCAAUACUGACGCUCAUGCACGAAAGCGUGGGGAGCAAACAGGAUUAGAUACCCUGGUAGUCCACGCCCUAAACGAUGUCAACUAGUUGUUGGGGGAUUCAUUUCCUUAGUAACGUAGCUAACGCGUGAAGUUGACCGCCUGGGGGAGUACGGUCGCAAGAUUAAAACUUAAAGGAAUUGNCGGGGUCGUGCUGUUUCCU